UGCCACUGAUGAGGAGGUGAAGAAACAACAGACGAGGCACUCGAGGAGACAUAGGGCCAGGUCAAUCUUACGAUGCGAUUCAUCUGGGCCUGCCGGGAGCGUCAGAACCGCAGCCCGCCGUGGGCACCAUCACCCUCCUCUCCUACGUUCCUACCCAGCCGUGAGAUCUCAGCCUCGGAGGAUUUGCAAGUCCGUAGUAACAAUGAUCGAGGCCAACGCCAGCGAUUCCCAAGUCGUCCCCGUCGAGAUCCCUUCCACAGUUCCUCCACCGAGUCCGCACCACAGCAUCAGCAUCACCGUCCACGCGGCGACGCCGGAGCACACCAACCGGCGGCGUCCUUUGCUUGCAAUCUUCCACGAAGCCACACUGAGCGGCCGAUCCAGGAGGCCAGCCUCGCCGCCCCCAUCCCCCUGUGUCCUCUCGAGAUGGCGAGAUGGUCGGGCACCCCGGCGGCCAAGCACCCUGGAGGCCCCACCAUACGCUGCAGCUUGUUGUGACGAACGUGCAUGGGGAGGACGUCGUGGGGAGGUUCCUGGGUGCAACCGCCACGGCAGCGAUGACCGCGGAGUACGAGCCUACGAGGCACGAGGCGACGAAGGCGCUCCUGGAGGAAAUCGCGGCUGUGUGGGCAGCGGAGGAAGAGACAAAUAAUCUCGUCAGCGGAAUCAAAAGUUAAUGCAGAACUGGCCGCAACAGGCAAAGAGGUAGAGGCCCGAAGAUGGAGAAUAUCACGCACGUGGAGGAGCUAGAGAAGGAAACUGCAUAUAUGCCUUUGUCAAUGUGCAAUCGAACAGCCAUCGGGUGGUGAUGAGAGGACUACUGAAGCAGGGGAAGCACACUUCAGUUGGUUACCCAUGGUUUUUUCAGAAGAUGCAAAGCAUCCAGAAUGUGACCAGUCACACACUAGAGAGCAUCGAGAGCUUCUGUCAUUGGAUAAUGGCAUCAAAUAUGCGGUUCAAGUCCUUUCACAGUGCAGGUGAACUGAAGAAUUCUAUCAAAUAUAAGUGCCCUUUCAAGAUUGGCAUUGUCCUUUCUUCAGUGUACAUAUGAUAUUACAUGAUUAAACAUACCAAUUGUUUAACUUGAUUUAGUUGUCGAGAGAACUUAUUUUUUACAUUGUAAGAAACAUGUCCUGUUUUUUCCCAUUAUUUAAGUGUGUGCCAUAUUAUCUUUGUUCAUGAUUCUGACUUUACA